UGGGGAAUAUUGCACAAUGGGCGCAAGCCUGAUGCAGCCAUGCCGCGUGUAUGAAGAAGGCCUUCGGGUUGUAAAGUACUUUCAGCGGGGAGGAAGGCGAUAAGGUUAAUAACCUUGUCGAUUGACGUUACCCGCAGAAGAAGCACCGGCUAACUCCGUGCCAGCAGCCGCGGUAAUACGGAGGGUGCAAGCGUUAAUCGGAAUUACUGAGCGUAAAGCGCACGCAGGCGGUCUGUCAAGUCGGAUGUGAAAUCCCCGGGCUCAACCUGGGAACUGCAUUCGAAACUGGCAGGCUAGAGUCUUGUAGAGGGGGGUAGAAUUCCAGGUGUAGCGGUGAAAUGCGUAGAGAUCUGGAGGAAUACCGGUGGCGAAGGCGGCCCCCUGGACAAAGACUGACGCUCAGGUGCGAAAGCGUGGGGAGCAAACA
rnacentral:rRNA from 1 species